ensembl:lncRNA
GACACACCCGCUUUGCUUAGAGGCGCAGCAGAUAGAGCGGUUGUUAACGACUCUUAAAAGGGGGGAGGAACGGGGCAGCAGUAGGACAACGAACUGCAUUGCAUCGGGUGUCUGUUUGAAUUGGGACUCUGGCAAGGGCAGUGGGCUCUGGGGCGCCUGAGCAGCAGGAACCUUCAGGCAGUUUCCUCGCACAGAGCUUGAGAGAGGAAGCAAUGAAUGGGAGAAUUCAAAGGAUGGCGAUAAAUAAGACAAGAACUGAUGGAUCUACUGUUGACAGACAGGAGGAAACUGAAGUGGUGAAUGCUUUCAGAUGGAGGCCUUGGAAAGAAUUGAUAGAAACUGUCAUGAAAAAAGCAACAAAUGCUCUGGAGGACUUUGAAAACUUGGAUUCGUGCAGUGAGGAUUCAGAUUCAGGCAGUGAUGACUCAGUGUCAGAUGUUGAAGAUGGUAACAUGUCCUCUAAAGCCGCUUCUGCUGAACCAAGAAGUCCAUCUCACUAUGAAGAGGAGGACUGGGAAAAAGAAAUAGCAGAAAGUGAAAAUAAUAGCAAUCCUUAUGAUUUUGAUGAUAUUAUUCACUAUGGAGGUUUCUUGGAUCAGAUUCCAUCACCAUCAUCAGUUCAAGAAGUGCCUUCGUAUGACCCAAGCUUGCAUCAUGUAGCACCAUUGAUUUUGAAAAGCCUAAAAGCCAUGCCAGUGGAGGGCCAGUUUGAUGAUGCCGUUGAUUGAGCCAGUCCUAGGAUAUUGGGAACACAGGAGGUUGGUUAUGAGCAGCCUGGGCCUGCAGGAGAGUGUGGGGACAUCGGCCAUGAGGACUUCAUCAAGCUGGUGUCCAUCUAGACUGCGUACCUUGAGAUACAUCUGAUGAGCUUCCCACCCCCAAAGGCCGAUGGCUGCUAUGAACAAGAAAGGGACUGUGAAAUGGCCUAUGGGACAGGAGGGCUAAAAGCUGGGAAGUUGUUUCUUUCUUUUUUUCUUCCCAAGUUUGUCUCUUUCUUGCAAAAUGUAUAUUUAAGACACUGCUUGGCCUUUUCCUCACCUGCCAUUGUCAUGCUGGGAUUCUUUUAUUGUUAAACUUCACAGUGUUUUUCCUACUUCAGCUGGAACUGUCUUCUGGAGCUUAGCUUUCUAGGAAUAGUUUUGGUCUUCUUCUACCUCCUCUUCUAUUCAGCAGUCUUCAGAGAGAAGAAAUGGUUUCCUCUGGUAUCAGCAGUAGCAAACGGUCAGUUGAAGUUGUCCGGUGAGAAGGAGUGAAGUGGGAAUUCUGAUUUGGCAACUUUUGGCACAGAGCUUUAUAUUCAGUUCAGGUAAAUUGCUGCUCCUGCUUUGUUACCUUGGAGGUGGUGUAGCUCAGUGAUAGAGCAUUUCCUUAGAAAAAGCUGUCAUAAGAUUCAGGUUCUAAUGUCUUGGCCCCACACCCAAAGGUAUGGCAAACCACUUCUAUAUCCUGGCCCAGAAACAGUGUGACUGUGACUGUGUAGUCAGCGAACCACUGAGUAUGGUCAAAGUUUCCUUUCAUUUUUAGCUCACCAGUAUAGUGAAAUCUGUUAAGUUCUUCUCAUAGAGUCUCCAUUUUUUAUGCCUCCUAAUACCAGCAGUGGAAACCCUGAUGCCUUUUGGGCUUCUCAUUAUCCCAGGCUGUUGAUGUUAUGGGUGAGUUUAAUUUCACAUCAGGGCAGCUUAACUGCCUAUCAUUAUGGGUCAGCAGGUGUGUUCUUCUGCUAACAUUAUCCCUGGACCAAAAUGAUUAAGGUGCUAUGAUAGCAGAAUCAUACUGGUAUUAUGAUCAGCUGUAUACUCAGCCUCAGCAUCCUAGCUGUUUAAGGCUUUUCAGGAAAGUGGAAUAAGGUGUUGGAUUGUCUAUGCCUCAUUCUAAAGUCUUGUUUAAAAGAUUUCAUAUUCAUAACAAAAUAUUAGUACAUGACCUAUUUGUAUUCACAGGAUGUUGUAGGGUAAUAGAAAAUAUUGCAUUGUAUAUACUUUGCCUUGUUAUACUAAUUUAGCACUUCAUAUAAAUAUUCAGUCUGCUUCAUAUCAUUCUGAAAAAUUUCCAGUAGCCUACCUACCUGCCUAUCCAUCCAUCCAACCAUCCAUCCAUCAGGACCAGAAUAAACAAAACAAAUUAAAACCA